GAUGAACGCUGGCGGCGUGCCUAAUACAUGCAAGUCGAGCGAACAGACGAGGAGCUUGCUCCUCUGACGUUAGCGGCGGACGGGUGAGUAACACGUGGAUAACCUACCUAUAAGACUGGGAUAACUUCGGGAAACCGGUGCUAAUACCGGAUAAUAUAUUGAACCGCAUGGUUCAAUAGUGAAGGACGGUUUUGCUGUCACUUAUAGAUGGAUCCGCGCCGCAUUAGCUAGUUGGUAAGGUAACGGCUUACCAAGGCAACGAUGCGUAGCCGACCUGAGAGGGUGAUCGGCCACACUGGAACUGAGACACGGUCCAGACUCCUACGGGAGGCAGCAGUAGGGAAUCUUCCGCAAUGGGCGAAAGCCUGACGGAGCAACGCCGCGUGAGUGAUGAAGGUCUUCGGAUCGUAAAACUCUGUUAUUAGGGAAGAACAAAUGUGUAAGUAACUAUGCACGUCUUGACGGUACCUAAUCAGAAAGCCACGGCUAACUACGUG
rnacentral:rRNA from 1 species